rnacentral:ncRNA from 1 species
CACCGCCCGUCACACCCUGGGAGUUGAUUUCGCCCGAAGCAUCAGACCAAUGAUCACCCUAUCUAUAUAUGUUCCACUAGUGUGGCCCACGGAGGUUGGGGUGGUCUUAUUGGCGCAUACCACGGUGGGGUCUUCGACUGGGGUGAAGUCGUAACAAGGUAGCCGUAGGGGAACCUGCGGCUG